rnacentral:rRNA from 1 species
CAAACCAACCUAGAGGAGCCUGUCCUAUAAUCGAUACCCCACGUUCUACCUUUCCCCCCCUAGCCCUUCAGCCUAUAUACCGCCGUCGUCAGCCUACCUUAUGAAAGAAAUAAAGUAAGCAAAAUAGUCAACAACUAAAACGUCAGGUCAAGGUGUAGCACAUGGGCGGGCAGAGAUGGGCUACAUUUUCAAAACGAACACACGAAUAAUAUAUUGAAACACAUAUUUGAAGGUGGAUUUAGUAGUAAAAUUAGCAAGAAAACCAUAUUGAAAGCUGCUCUGAAGCGCGC